CCGUAACUCCAGUUGAUCGUGCUGGAGGGUACUGCUAUCGAAGUCAGAUUAAGCCAUGCAAGUCCAUACGUGCCCAUGUACGUAUGGCGAACGGCUGAGUAACGCGUGGUCAAUCUACCCUGGGGUCGGGCAUAACCGCGGGAAACUGCGGGUAAUUCCCGAUAGGUGAGCGAUGCUGGAAUGCUUGUUCUCCUAAAGGAUGUGCAAAUUGGAGCAUAAUCGCCCUAGGAUGAGACUGCGUCGGAUUAUGGUAGUUGGUGGGGUAACGGCCCACCAAGCUGAUAAUCCGUAGGGGCAAUGGGAGUUGUAGCCCCCAGAAGGACACUGAGACAAGGGUCCUAGCCCUACGGGGUGCAGCAGGCGCGAAACCUUCUCAAUGCGCGCAAGCGUGAAGAGGUGACUUCGAGUGAUAGUUGCUUCAUAGUGAUUAUCUUUUGCCAAGUCCAAACAGCUUGGAGAAUAAGAUCUGGGUAAGACUAGUGCCAGCCGCCGCGGUAACACUAGCAGAUCAAGUGGUACCCACGAUUAUUGGGUCUAAAGCGCUCGUAGCCGGUUAGAUAAAUUCACUGUGAAAGAGCCUCUUUUCUUUUGUAAAAGAAAGGACCUUCGGGAGAAAAGAAAACAAUUAGCAUAUUUUCCAAUGGUCUUUCCUUCAAAAAUAAAAAGAGGUUCCAGGAAAUCCUCAGGCUUAACCUAGAGGGCGUGCAGUGAACACUGUCUAGCUUGAGAGCGGGGGAGGUCAGAAGUACUACCGGGGUAGGGGUAAAAUCCUGUGAGCCUGGUAGGACUAACGGUGGCGAAAGCGUCUGACCAAAACGCGUCUGACGGUGAGGAGCGAAGGCCGGGGGAUCAAAUCAGUCUUCAGUUUUCAGUUUCGGGUUUCGAAGCUGGUUGACGGCUGAGAUCAAAAGGGAUUAGAUACCCCUGUAGUCCCGGCAGUAAAUUAUGCGGACUUGGGUGCUGCAGUACUCUAGAGGUACUGCAGUGCUAUAGCGAAGGCGUUAAGUCCGCCACCUGGGGAGUACGGCCGCAAGGUUGAAACUUAAACGAAUUGGCGGGGGAGCACCACAAGGGGUGGAUGCUGCGGUUCAAUUGGAUACAACGCCAGGAAUAUUACCAGGAGCGACGGCAGAAUGAAGGCCAGGCUGAAGACCUUGCUAGACAAGCCGAGUGGUGCUGCAUGGCCAUCGUCAGCUCGUGGCGUGACAACAUCAGCCUAAUCAGUUUUGAGUUACGAGUUUCGAAACCCGAAACCCAGAACCCGAAACUAUCAUGGGUUGGUGUUGCGCUAAAGCUGUCUGGUUAAGUCCAGCAACGAGCGAGACCCCUAUGUUUAGUUGCCAACUACCUUUUCGAAGGUGGUGCACUCUAGACAGACUGCCUGCGUAAGCAGGAGGAAGGAAGGGGCGACGGUAGGUCAGUAUAGCCCUAAUCUCCUGGGCCACACGUGGCAUACAAUGGAUGGGACAAUUGGUUGCAACUCCGAAAGGAGGAGCCAAUCCCAUAAACCCAUCCUCAGUUCGGAUUGAGGGCUGAAACUCGCCCUCAUGAAGAUGGAAUCCCUAGUAAUCGCUUGUCAACAUCGAGCGGUGAAUAUGUCCCCGCUCCUUGCACACACCGCCCGUCAAGUCACCCAAGCGAAAUUAUGGUGAUGCAUAAUCCUCUGGAUUCCAGAAGGGUCGUGUUGAACCACAAUUUUAUGAGGGGGGCUAAGUCGUAACAAGGUAUCCGUAGGGGAACCUGCGGAUAGAUCACCUCCA
rnacentral:rRNA from 2 species